rnacentral:rRNA from 2 species
AACGCUGGCGGCGUGCCUAAUACAUGCAAGUCGAACGAGUUCUGGUUAUUGAACGGUGCUUGCAUCUUGAUUACAUUUUGAACGAGUGGCGGACGGGUGAGUAACACGUGGGUAACCUGCCCUUAAGUGGGGGAUAACAUUUGGAAACAGAUGCUAAUACCGCAUAAAUCCAAGAACCGCAUGGUUCCUGGCUGAAAGAUGGCGUAAGCUAUCGCUUUUGGAUGGUCCCGCGGCGUAUUAGCUAGUUGGUGAGGUAACGGCUCACCAAGGCAAUGAUACGUAGCCGACCUGAGAGGUUGAUCGGCCACAUUGGGACUGAGACACGGCCCAAACUCCUACGGGAGGCAGCAGUAGGGAAUCUUCCACAAUGGACGCAAGUCUGAUGGAGCAACGCCGCGUGAGUGAAGAAGGCUUUCGGGUCGUAAAACUCUGUUGUUGGAGAAGAAUGGUCGGCAGAGUAACUGUUGUCGGCGUGACGGUAUCCAACCAGAAAGCCACGGCUAACUA